GUGGUAAAUGGGUGGGUGGGUAGGUGAAUAGAUGAAUAGAUUGAUAAAUAGGGGGAUGGGUGGACUGGUAGAUGGGUAGAUGGAGGGUACAUUGCUGUGUGGAUAGGUGGGUGAAUGGAUGAAGGAGGGAGGGAUGGGCAGGUAGAUGGAUAGAUUAGUGGAUGGAUGGGUGGAUGGGCUGACAAAUGGCUUGUUCCCAGACUGUUUGUCCUUGGGUGGAGUCAUGCAGGUAUCUAUUGCAGCUGGGCCUGAACCGAUAUCUGAAGAGAGAAGUGGAGACAGCGACCAGACAGAUGAGGAUGGAGAACCUGACUCAGAGGCCCAGGCCCAGGCCCAGCCCUUUGGCAGCAAAUCCCUCACAGAUGAGUCCUGCUCGGAGAAGGCAGCCCCCCACAAGACUGAGGGCCUGGAGGAGGCUGACACUGGGGCCUCUGGGUGCCAAUCCCAUCCGGAAGAGCAGCCGACCAGCAUCUUGCCUUCUGGACACAGCACCCUGGCUGAGCUCUGCCCGCCUGGAGGCUCCCACAGGAUGGCCCUGGGGACUGCUGCUGCACUCGGGUCGAAUGUCAUCAGGAAUGAGCAGCUGCCCCUGCAGUACUUGGCCGAUGUGGACACCUCUGAUGAGGAAAGCAUCCGGGCUCACGUGAUGGCCUCCCACCAUUCCAAGCGGAGAGGCCGGGCGUCUUCUGAGAGUCAGGGUCUAGGCGCUGGAGUGCGCACGGAGGCCGAUGUGGAGGAGGAGGCCCUGAGGAGGAAGCUGGAGGAGCUGACCAGCAACGUCAGUGACCAGGGGACCUCGUCCGAGGAGGAGGAGGCCAAGGACGAAAAGGCAGAGCCCAACAGGGGCAAAUCAGUUGGGGCUCUCCCCCAGGCGGACCCGGAGGUGGGCACGGCUGCCCAUCAAACCAACAGACAGGAAAAAAGCCCCCAGGACCCUGGGGACCCCGUCCAGUACAACAGGACCACAGAUGAGGAGCUGUCAGAGCUGGAGGACAGAGUGGCAGUGACGGCCUCAGAAGUCCAGCAGGCAGAGAGCGAGGUUUCAGACAUCGAAUCCAGGAUUGCAGCCCUGAGGGCCGCAGGGCUCACGGUGAAGCCCUCGGGAAAGCCCCGGAGGAAGUCAAACCUCCCGAUAUUUCUCCCUCGAGUGGCUGGGAAACUUGGCAAGAGACCAGAGGACCCAAAUGCAGACCCUUCAAGUGAGGCCAAGGCAAUGGCUGUGCCCUAUCUUCUGAGAAGAAAGUUCAGUAAUUCCCUGAAAAGUCAAGGUAAAGAUGAUGAUUCUUUUGAUCGGAAAUCAGUGUACCGAGGCUCGCUGACACAGAGAAACCCCAACGCGAGGAAAGGAAUGGCCAGCCACACCUUCGCG
rnacentral:sRNA from 1 species